rnacentral:tRNA from 1 species
ACUUAAAUAAUUUAAAUAAAAUAUCAGUUUGUGGUUCUGAAUAUGUGUAAUUACUUUAGGUU